rnacentral:lncRNA from 1 species
CUGCCCUUUUACACAAACUCCAGAUGUCUGACUCCCUGAACCUGACCGUCCUAAUUAGCAGAGCCCUAAUCUUUCCUUGACCAUCUCCUGUUCAGAAGUAGAGAAGUUAUCCAUCAACAGUCCCUGCCUGGAAAGAGCUUGGCUUCUGCCCUCCACGUGGCAUGCGGAUUUCCUUUUAUCUAAGAGAAAACCUAGGCAAUCAAGAUCUGAAUGGCUUUUCCGCUUGAAAAGGGGUACAGUGGUCACGAG